UGGAAAUGAUGAAAUGAUUGUCUGAAAAUCUGAUGAAUCUUGCUAUAGUACUUCCUCUAGAUAGUCAAGUACUGAUCCAG